UACGUAGGGGGCGAGCGUUGUCCGGAAUGACUGGGCGUAAAGGGUGCGUAGGCGGGCAUUUAAGCCGGCGGUCAAAUGUCGGGGCUCAACCCCGGCCUGCCGUCGGAACUGGGUGCCUUGAGUGGGCGAGAAGUAUGCGGAAUGCGUGGUGUAGCGGUGAAAUGCAUAGAUAUCACACAGAACACCGAUUGCGAAGGCAUCUGACGAAUCGGAGAUUGACGCUGAUGCACGAAAGCGUGGGUAUCGAACAGG
rnacentral:rRNA from 1 species